ensembl:lncRNA
AUCAAUGCAGCAAAGUGUAAAGUGGUGACAGAGUUUCAGAUAAAUUCUUCGCAAAAUAUUUGCUGUGCAUCAAUAAUUCUGAUAUUAAUUACUUUACAGUUUAUCUGCAAGUGCUUUGGGAAUAAUACGCAGUUCACUGUCUCAGUAGCCCAACUAACAAGGGGCUCGAAGCGUGGCUCAGAUUAUCUUCUAGACCUGCUCGGUGUUGGCGUACUUCAAGAACAAACAAAUCUGUCCCUGUUCCGUGCAUCACUGUUGCAAAUCUGUUGUCAGAGGUUUGAGAACCAACAGCAAGUGGAAUCAGCUGGAGAUGCUGAGGCAGGAAACUCAGGGAGCUGUACAGCAAGAUCAUCAAAGCAAUUUUAAUGUUUGUGGCUUCUCAAUUACCAGGAAGCUACAGAGGUACGGAGACACAGUGCUGUUAAUUUGGGGAAAUUAUUAGAGGUUGCUUCACGCAAUGAUAUGGACUUCACUUAUUCAAGAGGAGUUAUCUCUAUCCUGAUAAGAAAUGAGAAGAUCAUUGAAUUUCUGCCCAGAUCAGUGUUGUCGCUCUUUGUUGAUGAAGUCUUUGAAAAGGACCUGUCUUCCUCACUGAUCUCACACUGUAAUCUCUUCAUGCUCCCAACCGGUUUGGGUCAGUGAUGGAAUAUAUAAGCCCUCAGGAGCCACAGAGAUGUGUUUGUGUUGUCUGGUGUGGUACCUGCUCUGUUCCUUGGCAGUACCUUGGCAACUGGUGAAUGAUUUUCUAGCGCAUCAAGGUAGAAGAAGCCAGAGAGUUGCACGAAGGCCAGAAGGUAUAUUUUUCUUCCCAGCAGAGGAACCUGUUAGUUGGUAGAUGUCUUUUCCCUGUUGUGAGGAGAAAUGACUACUAUUUCACCAAAUCAAGGGACAAACGAAUCCACAAGUAUUAUUUUCCUUGAAUAGGACUAGAUUUAGUCUUGGACUGACUGUGGCUGCUGAGUCAGUCCGGGUGCAUCUGAAAAUCUCAUAGUAACAUUCAGAAAGAGCUGACGACAGCAGGAGCAUCAUUGCCUCAGCUGGAACUAAAGCUCCAGAAUUUUUGUGGAGAUACCCUGAGGUUUCAACUAGUAAGCACCCUGGUCGCUAGAACUAGCGUUGCCUCCUUCAUCAGACAUCCGAAAGCUGCCCUGUAACCUGUCCAUAUCCUGAAUGAUCCUGAGCCUGCUGAACCUACGAGAAGCACAAGUCGUGGCAGUAAGUGUAUGGCUUUACAUGGCAUUUAUUUCCCAUGUGAAAUUAUGACAGCAUACAGAGAGAAAAAAUUAAUUAGUUUAGCAUUUAAUAAAUGACUGUCUGUACGUACUUUCGAAGAUUUAAAGUGUGAUGGAAGCCCUGCUCAGUGUUAUUUUUAGAGCACCUUAUGUCUGUAGUGUAAUGAAGUUCCAUAAUGACCUUGGUGCUGCCUAUUUAACUCCUAAACUUCGGACGUUUAAAGAGUCGUUUAAUGCAGACUGCUUACCUUCUGCAUGGAAUCAUCAUUUUCAUUUCCAACGCUUACUGAAAUGAAGUAGUCAAAUCUGGUGGAAAAUUGAAGGUUUUAGCUGCUUGCCUGAUCUUGUCCAGUUGUCACUAAAAUUGUGUUACAGAAUCAUCGAGCUGUUGAGGUUGGAAGGGACCUCUUGAGCUCACGUAGCUCAGCCUCCCUGCUCGAGCAGCUAGAGCAGGUUGCCCACUAAUGUGUCCAGUGAGUGACUUCUAUUUUUGAGAACAUUAUUUCUACGAGGUAAUGUGCAGUAGACUUGAUUUUCAUCUAUAGACAUCUCUCAAGUAUUGAGGGCCUGGCGUGGACACAAUUUUGUGUAGG